rnacentral:lncRNA from 1 species
AACCAGCUAAUCCUCACCUUUCUCAACAAACAUGUUUGAUUGCCAGCCAAGGCUUUCUUGCUGUAUGUCUUAAGGGUUUGCUGGAGAUUAUGCGAGUCCUCUAGAAUUAUGUCUAGUCUAUGUUGCUUGAACAAUCGCUCUCUGUGUUUUAUUUAGUAGUGGUGAAUGUAUGUGACUUAAUUUGGCAUGUGAUUAAUAUGAUCUUUUCAGAUGCCAUGAACAAUAUAUUAGUAAAGGAUACCUUGUUUUAAGGCCAAAUGGCUUCUAUGCUAUAGAUACAAACUUUCUGUGCAAAUUUUUAUGUAAAAGUUACAGUAUUUUGAAAUUAUUGGUGAAGGAAAAAAACAAAAGUCAAAGCAGUUUAUACUUUAUAGUAAUAAAAUAGUGUUAUCAUGUGUCAAUCAUACAAUACCGUUUUUACUUGAUCCAUCUGAACUCUGAAGUACUCAUUAGACCACAAUUUUUGAUAAAUUUUUUUAUUACUUAAAUGUCCAUACGGUAAAUUAUUAUUAUGGACAAAAUAUGAAAAAAAAAAUUCAUACUCCCUCUUUAAUCCAUCUCUUCUAGAACUCAAGAUUAUGCGAAGUUGUUUUAUAUUGGUAAAGUUGCAAGUGGCCAAUAAUUUAUUUUCUAGGUAAUCUUCUUUGAAUUUGGGCUUUAAAUUCUCUCUGUGUACAUAGUCUUUCUUGUAUAUAUAUGUAUAUGUGUGUGUGUGUAUACAUACAUAAAUACACAAAAAGAAAAGAGCUAUGAGAGAAAAUCGUUAAGGGCAUGAAUUUUAUUGUGUUCAUGUGAUUAAAAACAUUAUUUUAUUAUCUAUUAUGCUUUUCCUAGUCUUCUCUAUGUUUUUAGCAAUUUUAAUUUUAUUGUAGUAUGUCUGGAAUUGGAAGGAAGACUGGCAUAUAAAACAUGGAAAGAGCAUAGAGAUAUAAAGCCAUGGGAGAACAGUUGCAUAGAGAAGGAGAAAGGGUUGUAAAACCUGUAAAAGAAGAAGUUGCAUAAAUCGUUGUAAUUUAAUACAUGUACAAUAAGUGUAUGUUUAGUAUUAAAAUGAGCUUGGAAAGUAAAAUAUAAAUAUUUGAACCUUUUAAGUUUGUCUAUUAAGUAAAUGGGUUUGGUAAGUAUUUUUUUUCAUAAUUUAGUUAAGGGCUGAUUAACUAAAUUAAUCUUCUCUUAAGAGACCAAUUAAGUCAAUAUGGUCUCUUUUUUCUCUUCUUAUACUUUUCAAAUUCAACUUUCCUUCGCUACUCUUUCUAUGUAAUUAAUUAUUAUUACUAUUAUAUAUAUUUGUUGGUUUUCAUCACAUUUUGCAUAAAUGAAGUUUAUUGUGAUAUGCAAUCUUUCUUAGCACGACCCGAUUAAUGCUUUUGUCAAAUUUAUGGAAAUGGAUUCAUCGAAUUAUGCCCUUGUUAUUAAUCUUGACAAGUUAAUGCUUUUGUGGGUUGCGCUUACCCCAUGGCAAUCCCACACUUGAACAAAAGCAAGCGAGAGGCUGCAAAGCCAUGAAAUUAUCUAAUGAAGUUCAUAUGGUAUUUUACUUUUUUGGUCAAGAUUAUUAGAGUAAAUAUAAUAAAAUCAUAUUAUUCAUAGAGGUUGAUAUUGAUUGGUAAUUUUUUCUCUUUGUUAAUGUGUAAAAAAAUAAUAAUGUAAAAGGUUCUUAUUAUAAAAGUAAACAAAGAGAAACAAAAAAUAGUAAUAGGGAUGUUGCUAAUUUAACAAUAAGGAUAUUUUAAGGUACUUUUUUAAAAGGGUAGAGUUAUUUACGCUUUAAAAAUUAUUCUGAAUAUUCUAUCACUAUGUACACUCAUGCACUAAAUCUAAAAAGAUUAAGUUUUACUUUCUACACUCAUUAAAAUGCCAAAAAAAGACCUUAAUUAAACUAACUAAACUAAUUUAUUCAAAACACCAAUCAAAUUAUUUGGUACAUCCAAAAUGAAUUAAUAACAAUUUUAGUAUAUAUAACAAUGGAAUCAAAUUAUGUUCUAAACAAAUUCUUUAACAUAAAUUUUAGUUAUUAACUUUUGUCAAUUAAAAGUGAUUUAUUACACCCCAAUUUUUUAACCAAAUAAUUUGAAAAAAAAGAAAAACAAAAGAAGAAGAAGAAGAAGUAGACGAAGAAAAAGAAGAAGAUCGAAAAAAAGGACGAAGUAGAAGAAGACAAAGAAAAAGAAGGAGAAAACUAUUAAAAAAAGAUUUUUUUUUAAAAUCAAAAAGCAAAAAUGUAUUCACAAUAUAUUAAGAAUUGAUUUGCUCCGUGUUUAACUGAUUAUUGUUAAGAGAUUGGAUUUAAAAUUUUUAAGAUUUACGGCAAGAAAAUUAUAUAUUAAACAGUGAAUAUUCACAAUAAUUGUAUUAUGUAAGUUUAAAAGAAAGAACACUUAUUAGUAAUUCAUAUAAUGAAUAUUUUUUUAAUAAAAUAAUUUAUUAAAAUUAGAGAGUUUAAAAUAAUUUUAUGGGUGUAAACAACUUCAUUUCUUUUAAAAUACGGAUUAAAGGAGCAUUAAUCUCAAAUUAUAAAUACCGAAUGGGAUAUUACCUCAUAAAUGUUCGAGACAAGGACAAAACUCACUGGACUUGUCGACUUCGAAACUCUGAAACGAAUCUCUCUUAUCAUCCAUCUUCAUAUGCGCAAGAGUCAUCAUUACCCAUACUCUUUGUCUUCAUAAACCUUAACAUAAACAGCAGUGCGCAGGAUUUGCUCUCCAAAAAUGGACAAAAUUGAGCACAAGUACAUCAAAGUACAAGGCCUGAACCUUCACGUCGCCGAGACAGGAACAGGUUUGCCAGUCACCGAUCCCGCUUUCCUUAAUCCUAAUCGUGCACCCACCUAAAUAAGUUUUAAUCAAACACCGUUCAUUUCUGUGUGUGACGACAUCUGCAGGUCCAAAUGUCGUGGUGUUUUUGCAUGGGUUCCCCGAGAUAUGGUACUCUUGGCGCCAUCAGAUGGUGGCUGUAGCCGCUGGUGGCUUCAGGGCUAUUGCGCCUGAUUACAGAGGCUACGGCCUCUCUGACCCACCUGCUGAACCCGAAAAGGCCUCCUUUAAAGACAUCACUAAUGAUCUCCUCGCCACUUUAGAUCACCUCGGAAUUAACAAGGUAAUUAGCAUUAAAUUUAAUUGUUUCUUAAUGAUAAAUUUACCGAAAUGUUUCUGCUCAACAUCAGGGUGUAUCAUUAGUUUCCAUUUUUACAAAUUGAUUGGGCGGGACUAGGAUGUUCCUUAGUUCAGAAGACUGUGUAUUUCCAUCUGCCCUUGUAUGGCGCAAAAGAAAUGUGCUUUAUUUACGUAGAUUAACUGUUGAUUAUUACUGAUUCUGUCUUUCUUUCAAUGACAAUGAGCAUGCAUGUAUAGGUUUUUCUUGUUGCAAAAGAUUUUGGAGCCCGGCCUGCCUACUUGUUUGCACUUCUACACCCAGAGAGGGUCUCCGGUGUUAUUACAUUAGGAGUGCCGUUUAUACCUCCAGGUCCUGCUGAAUUUCACAAAUCCCUUCCUGAAGGCUUCUACAUAUCGAGAUGGCAGGUAUGCACCGGGGUUUUUUGCUUUUAAUUACACAGAAUUAGAGAAACAAAAUGACUCUUUUUUUUCUUUAAAGAAAAUGUUUUGGCAUUUGAUCAGGAACCUGGACGAGCAGAAGCUGAUUUUGGUCGCUAUGAUGCCAAGACUGUGGUGAGAAACAUUUACAUUCUUUUCUCCAGAAGUGAAAUACCAAUAGCACCUGAAAACAAGGAGAUCAUGGAUUUGGUGGAUGCUUCUACUCCUCUUCCACCUUGGCUCACAGAGGAAGAUCUUGCUACUUAUGGAGCUUUGUACGAGAAGUCUGGAUUUCGAACUGCAUUGCAAGUUCCAUAUAGGUAUAUUCUUAUAUUCUAUAGCAUUUCAAAGUUUUGCUUUCACUGUUGAAAUCUACUGUGAUUGUCCUGUAGGUCUGUUAGCUGCUCAUUGUUCCCAACCAUGGCACAUUAGUUGUUCAUUUGUUUCACAUUUAAGAAUAAUGGUGGCAUUGGAUAAAGAGUCUUGUUCCUCACCAAGUUAGCUCGGUUUUAGGGCCGCUACAAUUUCACUUGAUUUUGUUAUUUUGUAGGUCAAUCCAUGAAAAGUUCAGCUUACCAGAACUAACGGUUAAAGUUCCAGCACUACUGAUAUUGGGUGAAAAAGAUUACUUCCUCAAAUUUCCUGGGAUUGAGGACUACAUAAGAAGUGGCAAGGUAAAGGACUUUGUUCCCAAUUUGGAGAUCAUACGCUUGUCUGAAGGAAGCCAUUUUGUUCAAGAGCAAUCACCAGAAGAGGUGAACCAGCUAGUCCUCACCUUCCUCAACAAACAUGUAUGAUUCCCAAGGCUUGCAUGAAGUGCGUAUGUCCAUGAGUUCACAAAGACUCCAGUGUGUUGAGUCCUU